rnacentral:lncRNA from 1 species
AUGGCAUAUUUUGUUUAAUGAUUGCUGUAUUCAGGGGGAGCAAACAUUAAUGAUUAGCAUAAGAAGUUUGAAGAAACACUAAAGAGAAAAUGUAUUCAAAAAAGAGGGGGAGUUAACAAUGUUUGAUGAUGUCAAAAAGGGAGAGAAAUUAAUGAAAAAUAUCAAAAGCAAGAUUAUUAAAUGACUUAAAAAUACAAUGAGUGAAUUGCUAAGCAAAAGUAUCAA